CCGAAGGCCUUGACACUCGGGCCAAUGAGGGGGCGCCUGGGCGUUGGGUGGGAUCCGGAGAUGGGUAAGUCCGCCAGCUGGUCGAGGAGGGGUGCGUGUCUCUUGUGGCAAGGCAGCUGUAGUUGUGACAACUGGAAACCGAGAACGAAUGCCAACAGUUUGUCUGGGCAAGGAGGCUUGAAAGGCAUCUGGUUAUACUGCUAUUCUUUGGAAAACUCACAGAGCAAUGUUCUUCAUGACUGAACAGGCGUCUUGUGAUCCCUUGGGAAUGUCGAUUCAUUCAUUUGACAAGUAUUUCCAUGUUUAUGGAGGACCUUUUGUUUGCCAAGCACUGUGCUAGGCAUUGGCGCUACAAUCCUGACACAAGUAGACAUGAUUUCUGCCUUCACAGAAUUUACAGUCUAAUGAGGAAAAGGAAAAACAACAACAACAACAGUUUAAUUUUUAGGUUCCCCAGCCAGAGAACCUAGGACAGUAAAGGGAAAACACUAUUCUUCUCCUACUUCAGAAUCAGCAAUUUUUCAGGGAGCUGUCGAGUUGAGAGACACAAAUUUUGGAGUCAUCGGUCUGUGCAUGGAACUGAAAGCCAUCAGGAUGAGAUCACCUAAGGAGGUCUUCCGCCUGGGCCAAGAGACAAGCUGGAAAGAAGAACCCAACUAGCAAGUCUGAGUUCAAAUGGAGCAGCUGAAGUCUUCUUUCAAGUGCCCCUAACCCCUGCAUUGUUCAAGGGUCACCCAUAUAUUUUAUUUCACUAAUUCUUAAUUAGAGGGAAAAAAAUCCUCUCAGGUAAAUGCUAUUAUCUUCAUUUUACAGUUGAGAACAUGGAGGUUCAGACAGAUGAAGAAACUUACCUAGUAUUAUAGGGCCAGUGGAACCAGAAUUUGAAUCCUGGUAGACUGAUGCCACAGCCCUUUAUGUGUUGAACCACAUUGCCUUAGGCACAGCUAGUAAUCCUAACUCAUUAGUUCCUUAUCCAGUUGGGUAAGCUACAAAGACUACUCACAUUGUCCCAUUGUCCUCAUAAACCUCCAAACAUGUUGUGAACAUGGACAUCAUUCAUCUUGGGAUCAGACAGCAAAGUUACUCAGAUUCAAAACAAAGCACAUCUUGAUCUGUGAUUGGUAUAUCAUGAGUGCUCACACAAUGUAGGUGCUCAAUAAAUAUUUAUUGAGUGACUAAAUGGAUUACAGCAGUUACACCUUCAUAUACCCUUUAAUUGGGUUAUGAAUAUUUUCCCAUACAAUUUCUCCAUAA